CGUGGCCAACCUGCCCUUGGGACGGAAGCACCCCCGGGAAACUGGGGCUAAUUUCCGAUAGGGGAAGACUCCUGGAAUGGAUUUUCGCCUAAAAGGCGCUUAGAGCAUGCUUCUAGGUGUUGCCCAAGGAUGGGGCCGCGGCCGAUCAGGUUGUUGGUGAGGUAACGGCUCACCAAGCCUUUAACCGGUGCGGGCCGCGGGAGCGGGAGCCCGGAGAUGGGCACUGAGACAAGGGCCCAGGCCCUACGGGGCGCAGCAGUCGCGAAAACUUCGCAAUAAGCGAAAGCUUGACGGGGCUAUCCCGAGUGCCAUCCGCUGAGGAUGGCUUUUCCCUAGUAUAGAUAGCUGGGGGAAAAAGGAGAGGGCAAGUCUGGUGUCAGCCGCCGCGGUAAUACCAGCUCUCCGAGUGGUGGGGAUGAUUAUUGGGCCUAAAGCAUCCGUAGCCGGCUGGGCAAGUCCCCUGUUAAACCCAGCGAUCUAAUCGUUGGCCUGCGGGGGAUACUGCUUGGCUAGGGGGCGAGAGAGGCCGUCGGUAUUCCCGGGGUAGGGGUGAAAUCCUAUAAUCCCGGGAGGACCACCAGUGGCGAAGGCUGUCGGCUAGAACGCGCCCGACGGUGAGGGAUGAAAGCUGGGGGAGCGAACCGGAUUAGAUACCCGGGUAGUCCCAGCUGU
rnacentral:rRNA from 1 species